UAAGAAUAGCAUGAUUUGUCAGAAGAAUGUGUGGCUGAGAAACUGGUGCAAGCGGUAGAGGAUCAGAUUUCUGGACCAUUGGAAUCUCCUCUGGGGAAGGUCAUCUCUGCCACAGAAGAGAUCCUAAUGGUCCGAGAACGUGAAUCCCUGCCACUACAGUAGCUCUUCAGCCAUACAUUCACCUGGCGUGUUGUUCGACUCCGGGAACCACUGUGCACGCGACACUGGGAGUGACCUGGAGAUCACUACCUUGAGGUCCCACAUUUUAAUUUCUUUCCCAACUCAUCACUGUGCAGGAUCUCAUCUCUACAGAGACUGGGCACGAAGAUAUUUGGUUCAUUGGUCUUGCUUUCAAGGAUGCCAACAUCUGUCAGGCCCACAACUUGAUGUGUUUAUCUGGUUUUACGAGGACAACUUCAUGUCAGAUGCAUUCAGACUUUCACUCUGCAUCAUCAAGCGAUGUCUACUCACC